rnacentral:rRNA from 1 species
UACGGAGGGUGCGAGCGUUGUCCGGAAUCACUGGGCGUAAAGGGCGCGUAGGCGGCCUGAUAAGUAGGGGGGUGAAAUCCUGCGGCUUAACCGCAGGGCUGCCUUCUAAACUGUCAGGCUAGAGCACAGUAGAGGCAGGUGGAAUUCCCGGUGUAGUGGUGAAAUGCGUAGAGAUCGGGAGGAACACCCGUGGCGAAGGCGGCCACCUGGGCCGACCCUGACGCUGAGGCGCGAAGGCGUGGGGAGCGAACGGG